rnacentral:rRNA from 1 species
UGCAAGUCGAACGCGAAAGCCCCGCAAGGGGCAAGUAGAGUGGCAAACGGGUGAGUAACGCGUGGGUGACCUACCUUCGAGUGGGGGAUAACCUUCCGAAAGGAGGGCUAAUACCGCAUGACAUUCCGUGUUUGGAUACACGGACAUCAAAGUCGGGGAUCGCAAGACCUGACGCUUGGAGAGGGGCCCGCGUCCGAUUAGCUAGUUGGUGAGGUAACGGCUCACCAAGGCUCCGAUCGGUAUCCGGCCUGAGAGGGCGGACGGACACACUGGGACUGAGACACGGCCCAGACUCCUACGGGAGGCAGCAGUAGGGAAUUGUUCGCAAUGGGCGCAAGCCUGACGACGCAACGCCGCGUGGAGGAUGAAGACCUUCGGGUCGUAAACUCCCUUCGACCGAGAUGAAUACCUGUCGACCCAAUACGUCGACAGGCUGACAGUAUCGAGGGAAGAAGCCCCGGCUAACUCCGUGCCAGCAGCCGCGGUAAUACGGGGGGGGCAAGCGUUGUUCGGAAUUACUGGGCGUAAAGGGUUCGUAGGUGGCCGACUAAGUCAGACGUGAAAUCCCUCAGCUCAACUGGGGAACUGCGUCUGAGACUGGCCGGCUUGAGUGCAGGAGAGGAACGCGGAAUUCCAGGUGUAGCGGUGAAAUGCGUAGAUAUCUGGAGGAACACCGGUGGCGAAGGCGGCGUUCUGGACUGCUACUGACACUGAGGAACGAAAGCCAGGGGAGCAAACGGGAUUAGAUACCCCGGUAGUCCUGGCCCUAAACGAUGAAUGCUUGGUGUGGCGGGUAUCGAUCCCUGCCGUGCCGCAGUUAACGCGUUAAGCAUUCCGCCUGGGGAGUACGGUCGCAAGGCUG